GACGGGUGAGUAAUGCAUAGGAAACUGCCCAGUAGUGGGGGAUAGCCCGGGGAAACCCGGAUUAAUACCGCGUACGCCCUUCGGGGGAAAGCAGGGGAUCUUCGGACCUUGCGCUAUUGGAUGUGCCUAUGUCGGAUUAGCUAGUUGGUGGGGUAAAGGCCUACCAAGGCGACGAUCCGUAGCUGGUCUGAGAGGAUGAUCAGCCACAUCGGGACUGAGACACGGCCCGAACUCCUACGGGAGGCAGCAGUGGGGAAUAUUGGACAAUGGGGGCAACCCUGAUCCAGCCAUGCCGCGUGUGUGAAGAAGGCUUUCGGGUUGUAAAGCACUUUCAGUGAGGAGGAAAACUCUGCGACUAAUACUCGUAGGGCUUGACGUUACUCACAGAAGAAGCACCGGCUAACUCCGUGCCAGCAGCCGCGGUAAUACGGAGGGUGCAAGCGUUAAUCGGAAUUACUGGGCGUAAAGCGCGCGUAGGUGGUUUGAUAAGCGAGAUGUGA
rnacentral:rRNA from 1 species